rnacentral:rRNA from 1 species
CCAAUAGCGUAUAUUAAUGUUGUUGCGGGGAGACAGGACUGUUACUUUGAAAAAAUUAGAGUGUUUAAAGCAGGCUAACGCCUGAAUACAUUAGCAUGGAAUAAUGAAAUAGGACGAUCGAUCCUAUUUUGUUGGUUUCUAGGGUUGACGUAAUGAUUAAUAGGGAUAGUUGGGGGCAUUAGUAUUCAAUUGUCAGAGGUGAAAUUCUUGGAUUUAUUGAAGACUAACUACUGCGAAAGCAUUUGCCAAGGAUGUUUUCAUUAAUCAAGAACGAAAGUUAGGGGAUCGAAGACGAUCAGAUACCGUCGUAGUCUUAACCAUAAACUAUGCCGACUAGGGAUCGGAUGAUGUUAAUUUUUUAAUGACUCAUUCGGCGCCUUACG